rnacentral:rRNA from 1 species
AGUGAACGCUGGCGGUAGGCCUAACACAUGCGAGUCGAACGGCAGCACAGUAAGAGCUUGCUCUUACGGGUGGCGAGUGGCGGACGGGUGAGGAAUACAUCGGAAUCUACUUUUUCGUGGGGGAUAACGUAGGGAAACUUACGCUAAUACCGCAUACGACCUACGGGUGAAAGCAGGGGAUCUUCGGACCUUGCGCGAUUGAAUGAGCCGAUGUCGGAUUAGCUAGUUGGCGGGGUAAAGGCCCACCAAGGCGACGAUCCGUAGCUGGUCUGAGAGGAUGAUCAGCCACACUGGAACUGAGACACGGUCCAGACUCCUACGGGAGGCAGCAGUGGGGAAUAUUGGACAAAGGGCGCAAGCCUGAUCCAGCCAUACCGCGUGGGUGAAGAAGGCCUUCGGGUUGUAAAGCACUUUUGUUGGGAAAGAAAAGCAGAAGGUUAAUACCCCGCUGUUCUGACGGUACCCAAAGAAUAAGCACCGGCUAACUUCGUG